rnacentral:rRNA from 1 species
UACGGGGGGGGGCAAGCGUUGUUCGGAAUUACUGGGCGUAAAGGGCUCGUAGGUGGCCAACUAAGUCAGACGUGAAAUCCCUCGGCUUAACCGGGGAACUGCGUCUGAUACUGGACGGCUUGAGUUUGGGAGAGGGACGCGGAAUUCCAGGUGUAGCGGUGAAAUGCACAGAUAUCAGGAGGAACACCGAUGGCGAAGGCAGGUCUCUGGGCCGAUACUGACGCUGAGGAGCGAAAGCGUGGGGAGCGAACAGG